rnacentral:rRNA from 1 species
CCUACGGGUGGCAGCAGUGAGGAAUAUUGGUCAAUGGACGAGAGUCUGAACCAGCCAAGUAGCGUGAAGGAUGACUGCCCUAUGGGUUGUAAACUUCUUUUAUAUGGGAAUAAAACAGAGUAUGCAUACCCUCUUGUAUGUACCAUAUGAAUAAGGAUCGGCUAACUCCGUGCCAGCAGCCGCGGUAAUACGGAGGAUCCGAGCGUUAUCCGGAUUUAUUGGGUUUAAAGGGUGCGUAGGUGGAUUGUUAAGUCAGUUGUUAAAGUUUGCGGCUCAACCGUAAAAUUGCAGUUGAAACUGGCCGUCUUGAGUACAGUAGAGGUAGGGGGAAUGGGUGGUGUAGCGGUGAAAUGCUUCGAGAGCACGCAGAACUCCGAUUGCGAAGGCAGCUCACUGGACUACAACUGACGCUGAGGCACGAAAGUGUGGGGAUCAAACAGGAUUAGAUACCCCUGUAGUC